rnacentral:rRNA from 1 species
CGCGUAGGCGGUACAGUAUGUCGGGUGUGAAAUCUCCAGGCUCAACCUGGAAAGUGCGCCCGAAACUGCUGAACUAGAGUACGGGAGGGGAGAUCGGAAUACAUGGUGUAGCGGUGAAAUGCGUUGAUAUCAUGUAGAACACCGGUGGCGAAGGCGGAUCUCUGGAACGUAACUGACGCUGAGGCGCGAAAGUCGGGGGAGCAAACAGGAUUAGAUACCCUGGUAGUCC